rnacentral:lncRNA from 1 species
GGGACGAGUAAUUUAAUAUUAUUAUUUUUAUUUGGAAUGCAUAGAAAAUUUUCUCUAUUUAGGUCUGGUCCCUGUAGGGACCAAUUUAGGCCGUCUCCAUUAAAUUAUUUGUUCUUGAUAAUAGUUCAUUGAAAAUAAUAAUUUUUUAAAUUUUGGUAAAUAUACAAGGAGACCAUCUCUAUUAUUACUUUAUGUUGUUACAUUUUAUUAAUUAAACUAUUAAUUUUUUACUUAAGCAUUCAUGGUGAUGUUACAUGUGAAUUAACUAUUCACUUAACCUAUGUUUUUGCAACGUAUACCUAUAACUCCCUUUAUGCUCUAUUAAUUGAAAUCUAACCUAUGACUUUAUAUUCUUGUAACUUCUAUGCUAUAAGCCUAUAUAUAGAGGGCUUCUCUAUUCACUUCAACAUAACAUAAAAAAGAAAACUACAAUAUCUAUAUUCUACUUGAGAAAGAGAAGGACAAAGAAAGGUGUUUCUUUUGGUGGAGCUUUGGGCUCAUGUACUUGUGCAGAGUUGGUGAAGCUACACGACGAAAGUCGAACCGUUGUAUCCUGGAGGGGACAAAUCGGUGCUCUGCUGCAUCGGUUCAAAGGCUUUGCCAACCGCAGGGGGCUUAAAUCUCCUUAAAGAGAGCGAGAUAUCCGUAUCUCGGCUUGAUCGACUCGUUGAUACUUUUUUAAAAAAAUUAUUUUGUAGCUAAUCUCUAUUUUUUGAAUAUAUACAUCAACACUUUACAAGUAAUGUAUUUUUUUAAAAUUUCUUUUUGAAAUUUUCAUUGAACUCAAACUCAUUCGUUCAGCAUCUUACCAAUAAUUUUUUGGAUCCAGGUACAAAAUUUGGUUCCAAUCACUGCAAGGCUCUUCUUUUCCAAGCAAUAGGUCUUAAAUUUAAAUGCUGCUUCAAACAAAACAUCAUCUACAUUAAUACGAGCUUAAACUUAGUCGAGAAGUAAAUAAAUAAAAUAAAAUAAAAUAAAAAUUAAAUUGUGAGGUUAGCAUUUCAACAGUGGAGUGAACGGGCGGAUUCGGGAUCCCAAAAACGAAAACUUGAAUAUGGUGUAGAAAUUCGGACAAAACUGUCUUGUUCGUAUUAGAUUUGUAAAAUACAAAAUGAGUUGUACUGCGGACCAAAAUUAUUUUGGCGAGAACUUAAUGAAAUUGAUCCGAAAAGUACCACUUCCCGCCUAAUCUUUGUACCUUCCAAGCUUCUCCCUACUAUAAAUAGCAAUUUCCCCCUCCUACCAUUCGCCACAUCAAAAGAAAAAUAAAAAUGAAGCUCUCCGUCUUCACUAUCUUACUCGUCUCAGUUACCGCCUCGCUGUAUGGCGCCCUUGGCGCCGAGCAGUGCGGCAUCCAGGCCGGAGGCGCCCUGUGCCCCUACGGCCUUUGCUGCAGCAGGUCGGGCUUCUGCGGAACCACUCCCCCUUACUGCGCCGACGGCUGUCAGAGCCAGUGUCGACCGCCCACUCCGCCGCCUUCCCCGCCGCCGGAAUCCCGGCGGCGGCCGCCCCCGCCGAGGCGGCCGCCCCCGCCGCGCCGGCCGCCCCCGCCCCCUCCUCGNUGAAAUCUAACCUAUGACUUUAUAUUCUUGUAACUUCUAUGCUAUAAGCCUAUAUAUAGAGGGCUUCUCUAUUCACUUCAACAUAACAUAAAAAAGAAAACUACAAUAUCUAUAUUCUACUUGAGAGAGAGAAGGACAAAGAAAGGUGUUUCUUUUGGUGGAGCUUUGGGCUCAUCUACUUGUGCAGAGUUGGUGAAGCCACACGACGAGGGUCGAGCCGUUGUAUCCUGGAGGGGACAAGUC